CAGGGAAACAUCACCUCUCUCAUUAGUAUGUAUUUGACCUGCAGUUUUCACAGUAUUUUUGCAGAGGUGGUUCCCUGGGUGCACGUGUGACUGCAGUUAGUUAAAAAGAACUGUAUUUAUCCGUUAUUCUUUUUUUUUUUUCUCCCUGACUGCUUUGUGACUCUAUACUAGAAAUUUGUAAUUUCCUUAAGCAAAAUGCCUGAGGUCAUUUGCAUCAUGACCAUGCAAAUACGUGCGUAAACAUCCUGCUUUCUAACAAUACUUUCUUCUGUGUUGGAGUUUGGUUGUGAAAUUCUGACCUUUAUUGUAUUUGUGUUUGCAUCUCAUUCAUCGGAGACACAGAAAGAAAGAGUCUGCACUAAUUCUUUUCAUACAAAAAGCACAGCAACAACAUUAAAAGACAGCUAAAAUUAGAGCACAUCUUAUGUGAAGUCUUUGGUUAUAAUUUGAUGGCUGGAUGGACUAAAUCCACUGCAUGAUAACCUCAGGAGUCUGUCAGAGCUACAGGUAGCAACAGGAAGUGAGACAACACAAACAGCAGUCUGCUUCACUGCUAGUUUGCAAAAAGUCCUGUCAAGCUGCUUCCCAUACAGCCACAUAUAAGUGAUUUUCUCCCUUUUUGCCUCCAUUCCCUCCACAAAAUGUGGGUGAGUACUUCCUUCUUUCUCCCCUUUCAUUCACCUCACAUGGCUACAGUACCAGUUCUGCUUAGUUUCUCUUCCUAUAGACACUGGGCCCCAGAUUUUUCCUGAGGCUGCUGACUCCUACUGCUGUACAAGCAAAUGAGAUGGAAGAAAGGCUCAAGGCAAAGAAGGGGGUGUGCAACCUGAAAAUGAACCUGGAAAUGCCUAAGGAUAGAGAAGUGAUGCCAGUAAGACAGAGUCUGGAACAAAACAGGACCCAGUGAAGUACAACCAACUAGAUCUGACAAGUGGAGUCAAUUGGGAUGCUGCUGGUGUGCCCUGCUCCUACAGCUUUGUCACCCUGAAGGCUGUGAGCACAGGGACAAGAGUCCCUAGAAGUCCAUGCCAAGAGGCAGUCUAUCAGAAGGAAAAACAGAUUGGAUGAGAGCCUCUGGAGUGCACAUGCUGGCUAAUAUAUCCUUGAAGAGGAAGUGUAGUCAAUUCUCUGCAAACGGUCAUCUGUACUACUAGCCAAUAAUAUCAGGUGCUGAAAAAGUCCCUCCGUAUAAAUUAUCCCCUAUCAUUUAGUCAUCCAUUUUGCUGGCCAGGGAAGCGGCAGUGUGCUUGCCAGCUGUUCUACCAAGUUUUCCUGAGUGGCAGCAUCUGCAUCAUCGCUCUGAAGCAGCUCAGUGGUCUCAGCGAGAUGACACACUGUGUUCUGAGGAAGAGAGUUUUACCCAGAAAAUGCAAUAGUUCACCGAAUUCUCCGGAAGCGAGAAGAUAACCAGCUUCAAAAAACUUUUUUUUUUCUUCUCUUCUUUUUCCCCUCUCUCUUUUAAAGACACAGCGAUGGCUGUGAACGUCGUGUUCUUUCUGCUUUUCAGGGAUGUGGUU